rnacentral:Y_RNA from 1 species
AGUUAGCCUAAAGAUUGUGGGUUAUUGUUAGGCUGAUUAACAUUGUCAUUGUCUCCCCCAGAAUCACAUUUGACUAGCUGUAC